rnacentral:rRNA from 1 species
GGUCCUAGCGGGGUCUACCAUGCAAGUCGACGAGAAAGGGGCUUCGGCCCCGAGUAAAGUGGCGCACGGGUGAGUAACGCGUGGGUAACCUACCCUGGAAUCUGGGAUAACACUGCGAAAGCGGUGCUAAUACCGGGUACGAUCCUCGAGCGGGAGUUCGGGGAUGAGAGCCGGCCUCUUGACAAAGCUGGUGUUCCGGGAUGGGCUCGCGUCCUAUCAGCUAGUUGGUGGGGUAAUGGCCUACCAAGGCGGCGACGGGUAGCUGGUCUGAGAGGAUGAUCAGCCACACUGGCACUGGAACACGGGCCAGACUCCUACGGGAGGCAGCAGUGAGGAAUUUUGCGCAAUGGGGGAAACCCUGACGCAGCAACGCCGCGUGGGUGAAGAAGGCCUUCGGGUCGUAAAGCCCUGUCAGGUGGGAAGAACGGUCCUUGAGCGAACAGUUUCGGGAUUUGACGGUACCACCAGAGGAAGCACCGGCUAACUCCGUGCCAGCAGCCGCGGUAAUACGGAGGGUGCGAGCGUUGUUCGGAAUCAUUGGGCGUAAAGGGCGUGUAGGCGGCCGGGUAAGUCUGAUGUGAAAGCCCGGGGCUCAACCCUGGAAGUGCAUUGGAGACUGCUCGGCUUGAGUACUGGAGAGGAUGGGGGAAUUCCCGGUGUAGAGGUGAAAUUCGUAGAGAUCGGGAGGAAUACCAGUGGCGAAGGCGCCCAUCUGGACGGAUACUGACGCUGAGACGCGAAAGCGUGGGGAGCAAACAGGAUUAGAUACCCUGGUAGUCCACGCUGUAAACGAUGAGCACUAGGUGUAGCGGGUAUUGACCCCUGCUGUGCCGCAGCUAACGCAUUAAGUGCUCCGCCUGGGGAUUACGGUCGCAAGACUAAAACUCAAAGGAAUUGACGG